rnacentral:rRNA from 1 species
GAUGAACGCUGGCGGCGUGCCUAAUACAUGCAAGUCGAGCGAACAGACGAGGAGCUUGCUCCUCUGAUGUUAGCGGCGGACGGGUGAGUAACACGUGGAUAACCUACCUAUAAGACUGGGAUAACUUCGGGAAACCGGAGCUAAUACCGGAUAACAUGUUGAACCGCAUGGUUCAACAGUGAAAGACGGUCUUGCUGUCACUUAUAGAUGGAUCCGCGCCGCAUUAGCUAGUUGGUAAGGUAACGGCUUACCAAGGCAACGAUGCGUAGCCGACCUGAGAGAGUGAUCGGCCACACUGGAACUGAGACAGGGUCCAGACUCCUACGGGAGGGAGCAGUAGGGAAUGUUCCGCAAUGGGCGAAAGCCUGACGGAGCGGCGCCGCGUGAGUGAAGAAGGUCUUCGGAUCGUAAAACUCUGUUAUUAGGGAAGAACAAAUGUGUAAGUAACUAUGCACGUCUUGACGGUACCUAAUCAGAAAGCCACGGCUAACUACGUG